rnacentral:SRP_RNA from 10 species
ACUGGGUGUGGUAGCAUGCACCUGUAGUCCUAGCUACUUGGAAGGUUGAAGUGGGAGGAUUGUUUAAGUCCAGAAAUUUGGGGCUGCAGUGUGCUACGCUGAUCAGGUGUCUGCACUAAGCUUGGCAUCAAUAUGGUAACUUCCUGGAAGGAGAGAACCACCAGGUUAUCUCAGGAUGGAUAAAUCAGCCCAAGUUGAAAAUAGAGCAAGUCAAAGAUCUGAUGCUGAUUAAUAGCAGGAUUGUGCCUGUAAAUAGCCAUUGCACUCCAGCCUGGGCAACAUAGUGAUAGCCCAUCU